GGCUGUUGAAGUUUCUGAAGUCAGACAUGCUACCGAAUGACAACACAAGCGCCGCGCGGGACUUUUUAAAACAACGACUCACUGGAUGGAUUUCGCUGCAGCGAUCACUCAACUGUCGGUAAGAUUUCAGUAUAAAUGCAUGAAUAUACAUAACGGUUACUUUACUAGUUGACUUUCAGUCGGAGGGCGAACAUUUAACCACCUCGGCCUACGACCCCCACCAACUAGCGGUUUUGGCUAAUGUUCUUUAGCUUCAAGGCAAGCUAACAGGCCGCCCUUCGUAAGUUUGUUUCAGAUGUUGUGUGUGUACGCUAGUGGUCAUAAUGUACAGCACUAAGCUAUGGGCAGACAAGGCAACUAUUAUUCCUGCGUAAUUACCAUUCUUGUGACUACUUCACUGCAUAUGUUAAGCAGGAAACUGCCUUUGGUUCCCAAAUAUGAACAUCUGUUGCCCUUCAUACCCGACUACAGGGUUCACUGCCUGGGAAAUCUGUGCUAGUUUAUUACAGUAUUUCCAACCUGGUAGCUAGCUAGCCAGCCUGGUCAGAAUGGACAAAGGCAGCACAUCUCAGAAUCUUGUUACGACAAUACGAGCGAGGCAAAUGUGAAUGGAGUACAUUGUUAUGUGUAAGGUAAGACGUUAACAUGACAAGGGUGAGAUGACUGAUACUAAGGGCUAGCCAGACUAGAAUAAAAGUUAACUAGGCCUACUACGAAAAGUUAAUUCAUAAACGUUUUGACGGUCUUUCGAAUGGUUAUCGGAUUGUGUGCUUGCUUGCUUAAAUAUCAUAAAGUUCGCCACAAAGUGAUCACGAAAUGAUCUCCGUAUUAAUAACAGUUUCGUGGUUUGUUACUCGUUUGAAUAAACGUAUAGUUUUGACAUCCCUUUCAAAUGACACGCAGAUGUUUUGAAUGUUUGUUGUACCACGAGCUAUCACGAAAUGAUGCUGUAUUUACCCUUAAGCAAAUUACCGGUAAGCACUGGGCCAAAAGGUGUUUAUACAGUAGUUUCUUCCUGUGCUGUGUUGUGGACGUCUGUUUCAUCAUUUGAGCUAUCAGUUGUGUUUCUUUGAGGCAAAGAUGUAUAGAAUAGCACUGAAAGUCGGAGGUGUCAUACUUGUUAAACCUGGUGUUAAACGUAAUUUCAAUUCUUGACCAGUGCAUGUAAAGAAAUUGAAAAUAAAACCGACUUGACUUGACUUGUCAUUGGGUCUGAUUUUAAAUGUGCCAUAUAGUUCAAUGUGGGAGCAGGUUCACACACUAAAUAAGACACUAAGGUCAAGCACAAGCAGAUUUUUUUUUUUUUAAACAAUUCUCAGAGCAGAUUAUAGCAGACGUUUCAGGUUGCUGCCAUCAGAGAGUAGUGACUUGACCUUAGUGUCUUUAGUGUGCUCCCACAUUGAAGUCUACUUUUUGGGUCCAUGCACCUACUUAUUUCUAAACAUCUAGAGCGCAACAAUACCCCUGCCUCCUGAUGUGCCAUACAACCUGUAUCUCUCCAAGUGUGUGUGUGUGUGUGUGAGAGAGAAUGUGUGCACGCAGAUAUAAGAAGUUGGGGUUGAUGAUCCACAUGAUGGUGAUGGACCAGGACAGCUCUGGACCUCCUGACUGGCAGCUCCAUCCUCAACCUCUCUUCCUGCCCUUCACACAUGUGCAGGCAGACAGUUUUCUGAAAGAUGGUUGAUGUCAGUACCAACAUGUUGUGAUGGAGGCUUCCACCUGAGCUGAACACAGAAACUUGCACACAGUGAUGGAAGCAGUCGUUCCUGUUCAGCAUCGAUAUGCCAGUAAUGGGUUUGAUAAGCCACAGCAUGGUGAUGGGCAAUCAGCAUCAGGACCAGGGCAGCUCACAAGGAGAACCUCCUGCCCUGCCUCGUCAUCCUCAACCUCCCAUCUCCCUGCUCUUCACACAUGUGCAGGCACGGAGCCAGUUUUCAGAGGGAGGGCUGAUGACACCAGCAACUUUGGUUCUGAACCUGAUCAACCCAGCACCAACCACUGUGCCGCUCCUCCUCUGCCAACUGCACCACAUGGCUCCACCAUCUCAAAAAGGCACAGACACUACUCCACUUCCUGCGAAGGAUGAGAGAAGAGCCGACCGCCCCACAUCGGCACUCACCACCUUCUACAGGGGUGUCAUUGAGCGCAUCCUGACCAGCAGCCUCUCUGUCUGGCAUGGCAGCCGUCAAGCUGAAGACUAGAAGGCAGUACAGAGAGUGUGGUGAGCUCGGCAGAAAAGCUCAUAAGAUCACCCCUACCAGCCAUUCAGGAUCUGUACACUUCACACUGUUCCAAGAGGGCAAUGAACAUCAUAAAGACACAACUCAUCCAGCAUACAGACUGUUCUCCCUACUACCAUCAGGGAAGCGCUAGCCCGGCAUGCGGUGCCGCACAAGCACACUGGGAAACGGCUUCUUUCCACAAGCCAUCAGUCUCCUCAACGUUCUGAAGAAAACCACAUGAAUAUUCCAAGGACACUGGAGGAUAUUCCAUGAACACUUCUUUCACCAUGCCACUUACACUUUACUCAUUGCACCUUAUAUUCAGCAUCUUCACAUCACCUGUAUGAUCUCCUCCUGCCAUGUGUGUGUGUGUGUGUCCACUGUGUUUGUGUAUUUAUUGUCCAUCAGUAUGUUACUCUUCUUAUUGCACACUGUUUGUGUCUCUGUGUGACUGUAUUUAUUGAAUGUAUCAGUCUGUAUUUCAUGUCAAUGCAUUAUUUUUAGUUAUUAGUUAAACUGCACAUUGGAGACUGGUCAAACACAAUUUCAAACUUUGUGUUAACCCUCCAUAGAUUUUUGUCAAAAAAUGGAGUCUAAUCUACUGUACUAUUCAGGCUAUCAACAGACCACACAGUUGAGUGCUGUUUUAUGCACUCUGAAUAUGAGGAGAAGGAGGUGACCGUUCACACUUCAUAGUGUAAAAGUAAACAGAAAUACAUUUUCACAUUUCA